rfam:Triticum aestivum genome assembly, contig: Triticum_aestivum_CS42_TGACv1_scaffold_577438_7BL
CAAAUACUCCCUCCGUCCGAAAAUACUUGUCAUCAAAAUGGAUUAUAGGAAAUGUAUCUAGACGUAUUUUAGUUUUAGAUAAAUCUCUUUUUAUCCAUUUUGAUGACAAGUAUUUUCGAAUGGAUGGAGUAUUUA